UAGUCGAAAAUGUUGUCUCUCUUGAGUGGAUCCUGAGUACGACGGAGCACGUGAAAUUCCGUCGGAAUCUGGGAGGACCAUCUCCUAAGGCUAAAUACUCUCUAGUGACCGAUAGUGAACCAGUACCGUGAGGGAAAGGUGAAAAGCACCCCGGAAGGGGAGUGAAAUAGAACCUGAAACCGUGUGCUUACAAGUAGUCAGAGCCCGUUAAUGGGUGAUGGCGUGCCUUUUGUAGAAUGAACCGGCGAGUUACGAUUUGAUGCAAGGUUAAGCAGUAAAUGUGGAGCCGUAGCGAAAGCGAGUCUGAAUAGGGCGUUUAGUAUUUGGUCGUAGACCCGAAACCAGGUGAUCUACCCUUGGUCAGGUUGAAGUUCAGGUAACACUGAAUGGAGGACCGAACCGACUUACGUUGAAAAGUGAGCGGAUGAACUGAGGGUAGCGGAGAAAUUCCAAUCGAACCUGGAGAUAGCUGGUUCUCUCCGAAAUAGCUUUAGGGCUAGCCUCAAGUGAUGAUUAUUGGAGGUAGAGCACUGUUUGGACGAGGGGCCCCUCUCGGGUUACCGAAUUCAGACAAACUCCGAAUGCCAAUUAAUUUAACUUGGGAGUCAGAACAUGGGUGAUAAGGUCCGUGUUCGAAAGGGAAACAGCCCAGACCACCAGCUAAGGUCCCAAAAUAUAUGUUAAGUGGAAAAGGAUGUGGCGUUGCCCAGACAACUAGGAUGUUGGCUUAGAAGCAGCCAUCAUUUAAAGAGUGCGUAAUAGCUCACUAGUCGAGUGACACUGCGCCGAAAAUGUACCGGGGCUAAACAUAUUACCGAAGCUGUGGAUUGUCCUUUGGACAAUGGUAGGAGAGCGUUCUAAGGGCGUUGAAGCAUGAUCGUAAGGACAUGUGGAGCGCUUAGAAGUGAGAAUGCCGGUGUGAGUAGCGAAAGACGGGUGAGAAUCCCGUCCACCGAUUGACUAAGGUUUCCAGAGGAAGGCUCGUCCGCUCUGGGUUAGUCGGGUCCUAAGCUGAGGCCGACAGGCGUAGGCGAUGGAUAACAGGUUGAUAUUCCUGUACCACCUAUAAUCGUUUUAAUCGAUGGGGGGACGCAGUAGGAUAGGCGAAGCGUGCGAUUGGAUUGCACGUCUAAGCAGUAAGGCUGAGUAUUAGGCAAAUCCGGUACUCAUUAAGGCUGAGCUGUGAUGGGGAGAAGACAUUGUGUCUUCGAGUCGUUGAUUUCACACUGCCGAGAAAAGCCUCUAGAUAGAAAAUAGGUGCCCGUACCGCAAACCGACACAGGUAGUCAAGAUGAGAAUUCUAAGGUGAGCGAGCGAACUCUCGUUAAGGAACUCGGCAAAAUGACCCCGUAACUUCGGGAGAAGGGGUGCUCUUUAGGGUUAACGCCCAGAAGAGCCGCAGUGAAUAGGCCCAAGCGACUGUUUAUCAAAAACACAGGUCUCUGCUAAACCGUAAGGUGAUGUAUAGGGGCUGACGCCUGCCCGGUGCUGGAAGGUUAAGAGGAGUGGUUAGCUUCUGCGAAGCUACGAAUCGAAGCCCCAGUAAACGGCGGCCGUAACUAUAACGGUCCUAAGGUAGCGAAAUUCCUUGUCGGGUAAGUUCCGACCCGCACGAAAGGCGUAACGAUUUGGGCACUGUCUCAACGAGAGACUCGGUGAAAUCAUAGUACCUGUGAAGAUGCAGGUUACCCGCGACAGGACGGAAAGACCCCGUGGAGCUUUACUGUAGCCUGAUAUUGAAAUUCGGCACAGCUUGUACAGGAUAGGUAGGAGCCUUUGAAACGUGAGCGCUAGCUUACGUGGAGGCGCUGGUGGGAUACUACCCUAGCUGUGUUGGCUUUCUAACCCGCACCACUUAUCGUGGUGGGAGACAGUGUCAGGCGGGCAGUUUGACUGGGGCGGUCGCCUCCUAAAAGGUAACGGAGGCGCUCAAAGGUUCCCUCAGAAUGGUUGGAAAUCAUUCAUAGAGUGUAAAGGCAUAAGGGAGCUUGACUGCGAGACCUACAAGUCGAGCAGGGUCGAAAGACGGACUUAGUGAUCCGGUGGUUCCGCAUGGAAGGGCCAUCGCUCAACGGAUAAAAGCUACCCCGGGGAUAACAGGCUUAUCUCCCCCAAGAGUUCACAUCGACGGGGAGGUUUGGCACCUCGAUGUCGGCUCAUCGCAUCCUGGGGCUGUAGUCGGUCCCAAGGGUUGGGCUGUUCGCCCAUUAAAGCGGUACGCGAGCUGGGUUCAGAACGUCGUGAGACAGUUCGGUCCCUAUCCGUCGUGGGCGUAGGAAAUUUGAGAGGAGCUGUCCUUAGUACGAGAGGACCGGGAUGGACAUACCUCUGGUGUACCAGUUGUCGUGCCAACGGCAUAGCUGGGUAGCUAUGUGUGGACGGGAUAAGUGCUGAAAGCAUCUAAGCAUGAAGCCCCCCUCAAGAUGAGAUUUCCCAACUUCGGUUAUAAGAUCCCUCAAAGAUGAUGAGGUUAAUAGGUUCGAGGUGGAAGCAUGGUGACAUGUGGAGCUGACGAAUACUAA
rnacentral:rRNA from 1 species